rnacentral:lncRNA from 1 species
AUAAGUUACUAUAAAUAUGUAUGAAGGGUGAGAUAUUUUAAAAAUCUAUGUCAGAAAUUAUAUGGACUUUGUAUUGACAAUUUAUUUGCUUUAUACUUGUGACAACGUCUUUCUAAAAAAAUCAAAAUUGUACAGAACCCCUUUGUUUGUAUCCUACAAUAAUGAAUUAUAAUGAUAACGUCUCCAUAUUUUGCUUCCGAAGUUGCUAUCCUUUUUAUGCAUUAGUAAAUAUUGUAAAGAGCAAUGGUACUGUCUAUCUCCUAUUCCAUGCUGGCCUCACGUUUCCUAUCAUUAUUUCCAAAGGCUUAUUGCUUACAAGGAAGCUGUUAAACAAAGGAUUUCUAGUUGUCCGAUAAAGUUUUUCGGACGCCAUUAUGACUUGGUCGGCCAUUAUAUAAUAGGUGUGCAACAAAUGACCACGGAAGUAUUCAGAUUCCCAUAUUUUCGCCCUCCAUGAGAGCAUUAACGAUUGCGACUUCUCAUUUUCGUAUUUCAACCUAACAUGGACCAGGAACUGAUUUUCCUUCUUAGUUUUAUGAGAUCAAUCGGUUUCCAAUGAUUUGGGAUACUCAAUCAUUAGUUCAAUUAUAUAUAAUAAUCACAGUUCUGUUUAAUAAGGAAUGAUUUUAACUCUUGACUGACAGUAAAAUCCAUGAAAAGUAUACUCAUCCUUUAUCUGGUGUAGAAGUUUGCGAACGAAAUGACAUGCACGUCACUGAAUACCCCGAACAGAUAUAGGACAUCUACGUCACUAAAUACUCCGAACCGAAAAGGAAAUGUGCGUCAGUUAAUACUCCGAAUCGAACAGACCUGUGCGUGACUAAAUACUCCGAACCGAAAGGACAUGAGCGCCACUAAACACCACAAACCGAAAAGGAAAUGUGCGUCACUAAAUACUCCGAAUCGAUAGAACAUGUCCGUCCCUUAAUACUCCGAACCGAAAGGACAUGUGUGUCACUAAAUACUCCGAAGCGAAAGGACCUGUGCGUAACUAUAAAUACUCCAAACAGAUAGGACAAGUCCGUCAGUUUAUACCCCAAACAGAUUUGGACAUGUGUGCCACUAAAUAUUAGUACCCCGAAGCGAAAGGACAUGUGCGUCACUAAAUACUCCGAACCGAAAAGACAUUUACGUCACUAACUAACAAGCUGUUAAAAACUGCAAGUACUCGCAGAUCUGUACUUGUAUAUAAUAGCAGUGUCUUUUUGUCGUUGGGAUGUAAAACUUCCCGGCCACAUUCACUCUGUGAUUUCAGCUGAUUUUUAUAGUUUUUUGUUUUUAUGUUGUACUGUUACACCACUAUCCCAUGUUAGGUGUGAGUUUGGCACCCACUUACUUAUUAAACUCCGCCAUAUUCUGUAGAUGCCUGUCCCAGUCAGGAGCAUGUAAUUCAGUGGUUGUUUUUCUUUUGAACUGGUACAUCACUGUCCCAUGUUAGGGAAGGGUUGGGCGCCCGCGUAUGUGUGCCUGUCCCUAGUCAGGAGCAUGUAAUUCAGUGGUUUUUGUUUGUUGCUAUGUUACAUAUUUGUUUUUCGUUAAUUAUUGAUCAUUAUUUUGUACAUAAGACAAUAACAAUCAAAACCAAGGAGUAAACAAAAACUCACAAAACCAAAGGACAUUUACAUCAACAGUUAUAAAUAAUAAUUAAGAAACAACACGAACUCCACUAAAAACCGGAGUGAAAUCAGGUGGCUCCGGAAGGGUUGCACUCCUGCACCAUAUACGACACCUGUCGUGUUAUUUCUUUGUUCAGUUCGGUAAUGAUGGAAUUUGUACAUAAAUUAGACCGUUAGUUUUCUCGUUUGAAUUGUUUUACAUUUGUCAUUUCGGGGCCUUUUAUAGCUGAUUUCGGCGAGGAUUUCGGUAUGGACUUUGCUCAUUGUUAAAGGUUGUACGGUUACCUUUAGUCGUUAAUUUCUGUGCCAUUUUGUCUCUUGUGAAAAGUUGUCUCAUUGGCACUCAUACCACAUCUUCUUUUUUUUAUAUUUGAACUUAUCUAUAGAUCUUUUAAAAGGAAAGUAUGAUCAUCCUACUUUUGGGUUGGAGACUCAUAGGAUAAACGUGCCAAAACGAGGCGCUCUGCAUAUGAUAAACACCCUUGCUGAUUUGAAAGUCAAAUGAAUAAAAAUCACACAGCAUCAUUCAGAUAUGCUUACAAGUCAUAAUAGCCUGUAAAAAGGGAUAGGUUUGAUUUUUUGUUUGACAUUCUGCAUUAGAAUACUAUGUUUAGAUAUUUAUAAACGAAAACAAUGCUCAUGAUCAUAAAACAUAUUUUUCUACAGGACGUCGUAAACAAAGAUUUUGAAUCAAGAUAUGAAAGGUUUUUGAGGUUUGAGUAAACAAAGAUUUUGAUUUAAGAUAAAAAAAAAAUUGAGGUAAGACUAUAAAUAUAUAUAAAAGCCCUAUAUUUGGUCAAAUGUGUCAAGUCAUAUUUCAAUGAUGAUGUUUUGUGGUUGUUCCCGGAAAUAGUCGGACUACAAAGACAAGGAAAUAAUUCUUUAUUAGCCUAUACACUGUUACUUUAAUAAU